rnacentral:rRNA from 1 species
CACGAACGCUGGCGGCAUGCCUAACACAUGCAAGUCGAACGAGACCUUCGGGUCUAGUGGCGCACGGGUGCGUAACGCGUGGGAACCUGCCCUUAGGUUCGGAAUAACUCCCCGAAAGGGGUGCUAAUACCGGAUAAUGUCUUCGGACCAAAGAUUUAUCGCCUUUGGAUGGGCCCGCGUUGGAUUAGCUAGUUGGUAGGGUAAAAGCCUACCAAGGCGACGAUCCAUAGCUGGUCUGAGAGGAUGAUCAGCCACACUGGGACUGAGACACGGCCCAGACUCCUACGGGAGGCAGCAGUGGGGAAUAUUGGACAAUGGGCGAAAGCCUGAUCCAGCAAUGCCGCGUGAGUGAUGAAGGCCUUAGGGUUGUAAAGCUCUUUUACCCGGGAUGAUAAUGACAGUACCGGGAGAAUAAGCUCCGGCUAACUCCGUG